UUUUUAUAUCAAAACCAGCCCAACCAGAAUACCUUUGAAAUUUUGUCCUCACUCUUUAAGGCUUGUGGCUCUUGUUUGAAAACUGCUCUUCUUCCAACAAAAAUCACUCGUUCCAAACCAUUUUUUCGAAUUUCACCAACAUCAAAUCGACCAAAUCAACAAAUAUGUCUCAGAGGCCAGACAAAGUGAGGGGAGAUAGGGAGUCGGCUACAAGGAGUUUAUAGAGAGAAAAUGCGGCACAACACCCUCAUAUGGUUGGUCGACGGAGAGGUGGGGGCACGAGGUUUGCUAUGACUAAUGAUGCGGAGGGUUCAUCUUCGCAGGCGGUUGCGUCCCAGAUAGUGGACCCGACGCAGUAUCAACAACAACAUCAACAUGAGGUGUAUUAGCCUGAGUAUUUUCAGCCUCAGUAUGAGCACCUUCAGUAUCAGCAGCCUCACCAGCAUGAGGGUGAGGGUCACCAGCAGGAGGUUGAGGCUCAGUGGGAGCCGGCUAUGGAGUUUGAGGCCGGACCGCAUGGCUUUCCUGGGGCCUUAUGAGUUGUCACUUUAUCGAACUUCGGUAAACACAUGGCAUGUAGGCUAUGGGUUGAUGUAGAAUUUCAAUUGUCGCAUAAGAUUAUUCGUGUCUCGCACGGGGAGAAGCUUAGUAACUUAACAGUGUCGUUGUCGGGAGAAUGAUUUCGGUCUUACCCCCCUCCUUAAGACUGGGUUCGACAACAUCUCUCACGGGCUCAUUUGUGCCUUUUCAUAGAGAUGGCAUGUGGACAUCAGCAGCUUCCAUUAGCCUGUUAGGGAGAUGGCUGUCACACUAGAUGAUGUGGCAUGUCUUCUACACAUCCCCAUCACUAGGAGACUCAUUGAGGAGGAGGAGUUAUCUCAUGAGCGGGGCAUACGCAGGAUGAGCUAUGUUAUACAGAGGAGAAGGCAAUGGAUGAGGUGGAAAAACAAUGUGGUGCUCAUGUCAAUUACACUAAACUGAAGAGGCGUUACGAAUCACUGUUGAAUAGGUGUAAUCGUCUGGUGGAGCCUAACACGGAGGAGGAGGUGGUGGAGUAGAGUGUUGUUAAGACCUCCUGCGCUAAGGCGUUUUUGUUGCUCAUCCUUGGCUACACCCUUUUUGCCGGCAAGAACAGCAAAAAUGUUAAUCUACUAUGGUUGUUUGCGAUUAAGGAUUUAUACAUGGUGGGCGACUAGUCAUGGGGCGGGAUGAGACUUGCUUUCCUAUAUGAGCAGUUUUCUCCUACCUCCGACUCAGUUGUUAGCGUCGUUGGUGGUUACAUAACCUUGCUUGUGAUAAUACAUUUUUUUCUUAUUUUUUUAGUGAAUCGUAAAUGUAUAGUUGUUCGUAUGAUACUUAUGCUGAUAUAAAUUUGUCUCUUUGUGUUUGCAGAGAUGGGUUUUUGCGCACUUCAGGUAGCUCGUUCCGAGAAGGCUUGAUCCAAAUUACCUACGUGCUGACCCGCUUGUGGGUAGAUGGAAACCUCUCAGAGACUUUUCUAAUGUUGGACAUUACGUAACCGCAAUUGAUUCGAUGGAGCAUGCUCAUGUCAUCUGGAGGGUGUACAAGACUCGACGAGACCUGACUCCUUUUCAUGACAUAUGAUGGUACUCUGGAUGGAUUAUGGCCGGUAAAACCAGGAUGUGUCAUCACUUUCCGGAGCGGGUUCUGAGGCAGUACGACAAUGUCCAAACCGUUCCCAUACCUCCUACGACGAUUGGGCCUCUUGAGCCAGAGGAGGUGGUCACGGCCUUCAUUGAGUUUGUUGUCCAUGUCCUUAGCCAACAGUAGAGGGGUAAUCCGGUCCCGGAGGACAAGGUGUGGAAGCAUUCAAAGGGGUACAUAAGAUGGUUCUACAAAGUAUCCCAUCCUAUUAUGAUCGCCCCUACGGCCGUUCUUGACUACACAGCUCAUGUCCCUCCCUACGAGGAGGUUAUUGUUGAGCAACAAUGGGUCAUACAGCCUCCAGACCCAUUCUAGAUCAUCGGCAACAUCAGAGCCAGAGUGGAGAGCGCAUUGGGGGUUCCUGAUGUGUUUUCAAAUCCACUAGUUCUCGGCAUUAUGGAGGGCAUUCGGGCCGUGUAUAGCAUGAUGAAGGAGGUGCAGGCUCUGCGGAGGAGGAGUAGGACUCAUAGUUCACAGGAGUAGGAUUUUAUCUUAUGACUUUUAUAUAUAUGUAGUUUUUUUAUUAUAUUUUGUCGAAUAUAUUUACACUUGCGUUUUUAUGACA